rnacentral:lncRNA from 1 species
GACUAUUUGUUCGAGCUGGGAAGUCUAAAUAUUGUGCCAUAAAGAACUGAGGUUCAAAUUCCAAUUCAGCUACUCAAAAUUCUGGGCGCCAACCCUCAGAGCUUCUGAUUCGUCGGAUCUGGAGAGGGACCUAUAGGUGUGCGCUUCCUACAGGAUCCCAGGUGAUGGGGAUGUUGCUGGGGUGGAUCAAUGCUGUAGGAGACCAGGUGAGUGGAAUAGGGAAGGGUGCUGGGUUCACUCCCGC